ensembl:lncRNA
CAGCAACAAAGCCAGUUGCUUGCAUUUGUCUUGGAAGAAUUAAUGACAUUUUUCAUUCUUUGGGUGAAAAUAAGAAAAUCGCUGCAGCUCUUUAUCAGCACAUGAGAAGGUGACUCUCGGUCUGCCUCCCUCUCCCUAACCACUCUCACCUCCCAGGCCACGCAUGUUCCGUGCAAUUACUUUGGCAUAUUGAUUUAUUUUUAAAACUAUAUUACCCCUCGUUUACUGGAAUUUGCAGGGCUCUGGGUCAUGCAGGCGGAUCACAUUUCUCAUAAAGCAGACCCUGAAGUGGUUAAUAGGUUGUUCUUGAACUUUUGCAGCUGCUCAUUAAAAGCCAAAUUAAAAAAAAGAAAAAAAGAAAUAUUAGCUGUUACAGAGCAUGUAUGUCUCUCUAAAAAUUUCCAUUGUUCUGCAACUUUAUCACAUUUUAUCCUGUCCUGUGUGAAGAGAAUAAGGAAUUGAUAAAAUUCUUCCAAAGUUCUAGUGAAAUUCCCAAUGUUUCUCUCAUUUGUGUCUUCUGUUGCAACCUCUAUAGUUUACUAGACCAUUAAUUCUCAUUGAUUGAGAAUCAUGGUCACAGAGGCAAUCUGAUUUGCUGAAAAAUAGUAAUUAUACUAGUGGAGUUUUAUUACUUUGGAGGAAGCUAUAUAGAUAAGAAUGAGAACUAAGAAAUGGGAAAAGGUAGCAUAAUUAAGAAUAGUUAUAAUGGACAACAGGCAUGUUUAACAUGGUUCCAUGUUUAACUACAAAGGUCCUCGAACACUUUCUGCUCUAAGAACUGGAAGACACAAUGGAGAAACAAAGGCUGUUAGUUUUGGUGGCUUCCUUUUCCAAACGUACAAGAUUCUGAGGGUCAAGAAGGGUGGAAGCCAGGCACUCCCCCACCCAUGGCCCACCACCACAGAAUGGUUUAUCACAGCUUGCAAAAUUAAUGAGUCCUUCCCUGAGUUGAACUACAGACUUUUCUAGCAGAUACCAGCUAAACUGGUAACCUGGCUUGCUUUGGUCACCAAUAUGGCAGGCCUUGCUGGGUGUUGGGGGUGGGUGUGACAAACCCAGAUGGUGUGACCCAUCGGCGAGUUGAGUAACCCCACUAAAGGGGGUGCACAACAGUGCCAUGUAUGUGUCCUGCUCACCUGCAUUGAGACCAACUCUCCUCACCGGAGAUUUUUUUUCCUUUUUAAUUUUUCCUCUUUUCAGUGAAACAUUUCAUCUUGGAACUAAAAGCAGCAAAAGUUGAUUGAUAUUAACUAUGGCACUUCUGAACGGAUUAAACCUAAUCCCUUCCUCCUUCCUUUUUUCCUUCUUUCCUUCCUUCUCUCCUUUUUUCCUCCCCCUUGACUCCCUUCCUCCUUCCCUCCCCAAACCCGAGGGAGGCUAGAAGGCUCUUCCUGGCAGGAGAGGGAGGUCCCUGGGGACUCCAUGCCAGGAGGAUAGGUGUGUCAGGAAAGAACAUGGGGUGUCAGGAGUCUGGGGGCCAGGAGCCUCCCAAGUGCUUUCAGGUCUCACACAAAGGGGACGGGGAUUUUUUUUUUUUUUUCAUCAUAGGACAUGAUUGUCCACAGCUACGGGACAACCUCCCGCACGGUCUCAGGACUUGAGUAUUUUGGGAUGUCCUAAACGAAUCCUCUGGAGGUAAACAACGUGUAGGACCCCCUCUAUGCAAUGCCACUGGCAAGCUACCGCUUUCACAGCAAAGCCAGACUCCGGCCCUGCCCGAGGUGAAGUCUUUGUCUGCCUGCGCGCCCGGCCGCUCCGGCUUCGGAUUGAUUUUUGGUCCCGGCGGCAGCAAGUUGGGGGCUGGCUCGGAGGGUGGAGGCGGCUUGGGGGCGGAGUGCGGAUUGGCAUCCCCGGCUGCAGGGAGCCCACUGCUGCUCCAGGAUUUUUUUUUUUUUUUUAACUUGGAAUUUCCAGAUGACAAGAAAGAGGUUUCUCCUGGAUCUGAGGGAGCCAUUAACAUCUAUUAGUAACGCCGAUGGGAGCAAAGAGACUUCAGGCUUGUGGUGACCGAGGCCUUAAAACCUCACAGGGGGACAUCCUUGGAGCUCCAUGGCCAGGAAGUGCGGGAGGAAACGGGACUUUCAAAGCAGAAAAAGUAGGUCUGCUCAGAACCAGAGCUGGCCAGCCAGGCCUCUGAGGUCUCAAUGCCAGUUAAGUUUUCAAACAACAACUUCUUUUCUUCCCUGAGAAAAAUGGCUUGGGCACGCUUCCCCGGUGUGCGUUUUGUCUGACAAGAAACCCUUUUGUCCUCUGUCAGUAGAAACGCCAAGAAUAAAGCCCGAGGGGCACUGCCGGGAGACAGGUGCUGGAGCCCCGACCCCCUCUGCUGGCACCUCUGCCCGGGGUUCUCAGCUGAGCCCAGGACUCUCCCCAGGGCCUGGGCAGGCGACAGGGCAGGAGACGUCAGUCACCCCAUGGACGCCCCGGCUUUGGCAGGAAAUGGAGAUGGGUCUGUCUGGUUCAUAUAUUAAUAGGCGUCUGUCACACACCAGGUUAGGAAAUAAUCCUCCCAUUGUCAGCCUGGCUUAAUCCUGCCGUCGUCAACAUGUCUUCCGGGACCUCAUGGGGAGGGGCGCUUUCUCGGAAGAAAUCCCUUGUCAGAGGGAGAGGCAGAUGGACCUCUCUCACCGUGGGCCUGUCCCCGCCAGGAAGUCCGUGUGUCUCAUGCACGAUGUUCAAGGCGCUGAGGAAACCUGCUUUGUAACAAAUGAAAGCCUAGAUCUCUUGAAGUCACCCCUUAGGUGGUUUUUGCAGAAGUAGAGGCUUCUACAAACUGGGUUUCUUUAAAGCAAGGGGUUUUUUUUCCUGCAUUUUUAUUGGUUCCUAAAAUAGAAACAAACAGCAUGAUUCAGGAAAGGGCAAGAAGGCUUAGCCUGCUCUGAAGAAGGCCUAUGGGAUUGUCACCCAACGAUUAUCACCACCCCACCCCCCUACCCCCGCCAAACACAGCCCUUCAACCAAACCUAGCAGCUGAGAUGACCACAGUAUUUCUUUCUUUCUUUCUGGCCAUGCUGUGCAGCGCAUGGGAUCUUAAUUCCCCAACCAGGAAUUGAACCCAGGCUCCCACAGCAGAAGUGUGGAGUCCUAACCGCCGGACCACCAGGGAAGUCCUCACAAUUUGUUUUUAAUUAACCCUAAAGUGUUUUCGAAUUCAGUGAAGAAUGAGAAAAGCAGUGUCCUGAGCGCAAAGUCAAAAGCAGGUUUCUGUCAGUUGUAUGAAACCAUCACAGUGAAAACCUUUUGAGUAAAGAAACCCAAGUACAUUCUUCUAUCCUUCUGACAGGAUGUGAGUGCUGAGGGCGACCCUAGAACCACCCAAGAGGCAGGAAUGAGCCAACUUGGAUUUGGCUAAAAAAGAACAGGAAACACACAUCUAAGCACCCAGUUCACACAGUGGUAGGAAAGGAGAAACUAUAAACUCCCUCUACGAUGCUAAGUCUUUAUGGCAAAAGUGAAUUUUUUGACAGUGAAUCAUCACCUCAGAGAAGCUUCCUGCAGCCCGUGGCACCGAGCAGCCUCUUCUCAGACGCCGGGUGCCGCUUAUUCUGCUCUCGGCCUUUAUUUGCCUCCCACCUCUCCCCCAAGAAGGCUGCACUCAGCUACAGCAAUCCAUCCCAAGGAGGAGCUUCGCCUCUGAGAGAUUAAUCAUGAGCGGGGAUGUGUGAUUGAUCCUGCCACCUGCAAAGCAGGGGGACGCUGAGGCCGUCUUUUCUGCAGUAAGCAAAGUUCAGAGCUGUUUGAGUUCCGCUAGGUAAGCAGGACUCUCCAGACCUGAGCCGGUAGGCUGCCCUCUCAGCAGGAAUUCUCGCCCUGACCAUGCACAGGUGUGCCUCAAUAGACGCACCUGAGCCACGGAGGCUAGAGGGUCAGAACUGCUCAUUUUUGCAAAUAGCCUGACUCCAUCAGGUUUUAAUUAGCAUGAAGUAUGGCAAACCCAUUCUGUUCAAGAGGUUGGUAAAUGAAAAUCGGAUUAAGAUCUGUUGUAUAACCUUAGGCUACAUAGGAUUUUUCCUAAUCCCAGCUAGAGGCUAGUAUAUCCUAAUUCUUGCAGAAAAGGAGUCUUGAGGUUUUGUGGGUUUUUUUUUCUUUUUGGCCAUAUCCUACCCCUCUCCCUAAAAAUAAAACCUUAAGUACACGAUUCACCCAAAAAUUAAAGGGAAAGGGAAAAUAAUUGCAUUUGCUGUGCAUGUAACUUGGAACCAAUAUAUGCUAAAGAGAGAAGGUAAUUUGGGAGGACCCUUGACUCAGAUGCUCAGUAGAAGAAACAGCAUCACAUCGCAGAUGGACAGCCGUGGGCUCAAAACACAGCUCUGCAGCCACUUUUGAGCUGCAGCUUUGGGAAAUCAGUAAAACACUACUCUCACCUCAGCUAGAAUUCGACGAGAUGAUGACUGCGGAGAUCAAGCCCGGUAACGAGGACAACGUAAGUUCUCAGCUUACUGUAUUGUUAGACUUGAGCAGCAGGUCUAGCGGGACCCAGGAGAGGUAGGAAGGAGUGUGUUCAGCGGCUGAGUUGCCAAGGGAAGCAUGUAGUAACACCGCUUCCCGGCAGCAGAAUUCCCCCUUCACAUCCGGGGCGGGAAGCCUGUCCUGAUCUAUUCGGUAUCAGAUGGGUUUGGUUCUUCACCCUCAAGGUUAUCAGGAAAAUAUCUAAGUACUGACUAUAUUCAGCUCCAUCCAAACACCGGGGCAGUUUUAAACCUGCGCACACACUGUCAUUUACAGACCAGUCACACACCUUAGGGCUCAGCCUAAAGGCUGAUGCACAGGCUAAUGUAAAAGGGAUUGUGGAGCUGAGGCUUUGGGAUAAAUUAUGGUUUAACGGCAGUGAGCGUGGCUUCAUCUUCUGACCUUGUAUUGGAAGCCAGACCCUGUGCUGCUCUCCCUACACGAUUCUCACAACGUCUCCAUGCAAGCUGAGGGGGGAUGAGAUGGUAGGUGGAUGGAGGGGGAAGCCCCUUACCUUCCAGAAGACUCCAAAACUCAAAAGAGCCGUUACUUAAGGGGCGAUGACUGUCCUUGCAGGUCUCAGCUGCUCAUCACCUUGUCCUCUCAAAACCUCACAGCAUCAGGAUGGUAAGAGUCUCAACGGUUGAGUACCUUGUACUGAGUCACAUAACGGGCCAGAACUCAGUCCCUGGAAAUCUAAUCACAUAUCCUGUGCUUCUCCACCUAGAACCCCUCUUCGUGCCCACCAAAGCUGCCGGGGAUAAGUCAAGAGACUAGUGGUGGUGGGGAGACAGGAAAGGGCUUCUCACAGCCAGGUUUCAGUAACUCACUGCCAAGAGAGUGAGGUUUACUCUUAGGGUCUGGAGACCCUAAAAGGCUCACGUGGAAUGUGACCAUGCUCAGCCUGUGUGCUACGGGAAGCUGUGAGUGUGGUGAUGGAUUUCACCGUCUCUGCGAAGCCUCGCUUACCUUUACAGUGUCUGCCCUGUGUGUGGCAGCACCGCCCUCAGUGAUUAGCGUGUGUGAAGGCCCUACACCCUCACAGCAAUCCCACGCAGUAGCUUUUGCCCAUCCUGUGGAAGAAGGGACUUGCCUGAGGUCACAGAGGUAGAAGUGGUCCAGCAGGGGUUGGAACUUGGGUGAUCCUGGCUUCAACGACACAGACUAGAAGAGCAGUGUGCUGUGGGGCCUGGAGUUGCUUCUCUCCCCUGUGGCAAGUGCGCGCCUGGCACGGGUGUUUGCAGGUAAGGGUGCACCUUUUAUAAUAAUUUACGUGAAUGAUCCCACUGGACACUGAAGUGGUAGCACCAGAGGGGAAGAGUAUGAUACCAACACCCUCUGUCCAGUCAUCGUCAAGGCCUUGAAAGAGGUGGAUCUUUAUCAGAUUUUCCUGUUUGAACCCUUCCCACUUAGCGUAUUCAGCUGCCAGCUGGGUGAGGCUUCUGGAAAGAGUUUGGAGGCCCGCUGAGAGCCUUGACAUCCUUGUCUGAAAGGCACUGGCAUUGGCAGCUGUCCAAACACUGUGGUUGACUUUCAAACUAUUUAAUUGAAACCAUAUUUAAGGGGGAAAAAGAGCGAGAAGGAAGGGGUACGGGGUGCCAGAGCAGGAGAAAGAUCUUGGCAAAAAAACAAAACCAAACCCUUCUGUGUGCUGUUUGCACCAUCGGAUUGACCAGACAGGGCCACAAAGCUGAUAGAACAGGAUUAGCAAAACUGCAUUGUUGGCCGUGGGUGCGGCAUGACACGUGCUACAGCAAAGGCAUUUGGCAGGAUUAACCUGCCAAGGAUAAAGAUGUAGCAGACAAGGGGCUGAAUUAAUGGACUGGCAUGACCGAGGCGGGGAAAUCUAUUUGCAUGCGAUAUUAACUGUGCUAAUAAACUCCAGGCUGGGUUCAGCAGCCCUGUGGGUCCUCUCAGAAACAGGAUUUUUUAUUUUAAAGCCCACCUGGAGUCUUCCAACCAAGACCGGCUAACGCAGGCAGGCUUCCCAGGCUGCCUUUAGGCUCAAGCUUGCUGUCAUCUUAGAAUAAACAAACGCACAUUCUUACAUACCCGUGGCAGCAUGGGCGCCCACUGACUGUGCAGAGUGACCCUCGUACCCCGGGCUUUGAAUGCCAAAGGGUCCUCCGUUCAGAGGGUGAUCGUCUCUGAAAAACAGUGAACGAUCAUUACGUAUAACACACUUGACAAAAUACCUGCUUGGAAUGGUUGAUUGUGCCUGAUGUGUGUGUUCUCAUUGCGUGGAAGUCAGGGCGAGAGCAGGGUGAGCAAGCAAGACAGGCCAAGGCAUAAAUUUUCAGAAGGUGCUCCUGGUCCCGCCUGUACACGGGCAGCAUCAGCACCUGAGAGCAAGUGCCUCGUGCCUCUCAUCCUGGUCCUGCUGAAAGCAAUGGUGGGAACAAGGAAGAUAUGGGCAUUCAAGAUUCAGGCACGCUUAGACACUCACACUGUCGCUAAUGCAUAGCUGAGUGUUGGGGGGCAGCACCAGGAAAAGGCCAGGCAGAUGAGAGGAGAGGGGACCAAGAAAAAUGUAACUACCCUCCAAGUUACUGCUGUGGGCAGCUGGGGACCUUUGCCAGCCUGGGUGGGACGAGAGAGCAGGAAUUUUUCCACCAGCUUCCAAGCAUCACUGAUGAGAGAUGUUUACUCCUUGUACCCCACAGGCCCACCAUGUUCCUGCCCAAGGGAGGCCGUGCCAGCCGAGGGUACCCUAUGCACAGGGCCAGUGGGGCUCCAAACAGCCAGCACCUGCCACGUGAGUGAGAUUUCAUUUUCAUCUGAAGAUGCUGACUCUCUAUCAGACUCUUAUCACCACACCAAGGUUCAUACAAAUGUCCAUUUUUCACAGAGCCGUAGAUUUAGAGCAGCAGUCCCCAAAUCUGGAUUAUCAGAAUCCCUGGGGGUGGGGGUAGAUUCCUGGGCUUCGCCUUCAAACCAGCUGCAGCAGAACCUGGGAGCGGGAGGGAGGGAGCCCUGAAUCCCACGUCCCCAUCCUGAGCCAGUCAGCCAGGUUGAGGGGAUGUCAGCUGCUGAAGAAAAUCUGCAUUGACCCAUGGACACCUGGGAGCUGGUUGAUGAGGGAACACACCCUAUUUCUGUUGCCAUCAUCUUUUUCCAGAAGGAACAGGCAGGAAAAUGGUUUGUUGAUUUGAGACCUCUGAUGUUAUAAAGCUUAGAUAAAUGUCACGUCCUUCCAAUUGCCUUUGCCAAGUGAUCAUUACGUGACGUUAAACACACAUACACACACUCUCACACGCACCAGAAUUAGCUAGCUUGACCUUGCCAAGCAAAUAGUGAAGAAAAAGAAGUAAUAUAAACAGGCCAGAAUGGGAAAUAAAGAGAUAAAAAGCUUUGGUUAAAAUGGGUGCAGAAUUCUGGAACACCAGCAAUGUUAACAUGCUCAUCAAAUGCCCCUGGCAUAGCUGAGGCACUUCGGAGGCAACAGCAGGUAACCGGGCCCUGAGCGGAGAGGGAGGGGCAGCUGUGAUGUGUGAGCCCCCUGUUCUGGGGCACGUGGGGGCUGGGAUCCAGUGCAGGCCACCCACCAGGUGGCCACCCACAUACUCUGUUCUGGGGCUGCCUUUGCCCAGGGAAAGGGGGACUUUCUUGAGCUCACAAAAGGCUCCGUCCCAGGAAAGGCCCGAUUGUUUCCCUUGCAGAAGGUGCUGCGUGCUCUAGCUCUGUGUGUCAAGAUCUGAAAGAGAGACGGUGCGGUGCGUAGAUGAGCGGACAAGAAGAGGGAGGUGGGCGGGGCAGGGCCACCUGGACCUGUGUGCUUCUGCUGGACUUGCAGUUUACUCUGGAUGGAUGGGGGAGGGGAGGAGGGGACAAGCAGGAGAGUGACAGGCUCUGAGUCGUGUUUUAG